rnacentral:tRNA from 1 species
GUCAAGAUGGCUGAGUGGUCUAAGGUGCCAAACUCAAGUUCUUGUUUUUGGGAGAGGGCGUGAGUUCAAAUCCCACUUUUGACA